rnacentral:pre_miRNA from 1 species
CUACUACUCCCUCUGUCUGAAAAUACUUGUCCUAAAAAUGCAUAUAAUGAAUGUAUCUAUAAUUAAAAUAAGUCUAGAUACAUUCAUCUCUAGGACAAGUAUUUUCGGACGGAGGUAGUAGUUU